GUACAAUACAAAAAAAUAUAAUGGAUAUAUCAGACAAACAGAUAUGUACAUGCAAAAUUUUGAACAAGUCAAGGUCAGGAACUUAUGGUGGUCAAGUGUAUUGAUGGAGAUAGAUAGAUAGAUAGAUAGGAGUGUAUAUAUCACAAGCUUUAGUUUUUUAUCAUAUUUUUUUUUUUUUUAACUUCAUUACCCAUCACAAUGUAAACCAUGUGUCUCCUGAUUUCUACAUUUGCUACAUUGCAAACAUUGCAUAUUGCUUUUUUUGUGUGUGUGUGUGUGUGUUUAUGACAGUCUUCUGCUCUGUGCAUCUGCAUUAAUCAUUAUUAAUCAUUAUACACAGAGUCCCAAUCAUUCGGGUACGGGCAGUACUCCCAUAAGGGACAUGAUCAAGGAAAGGCAGAGAAAUGCUAGAACACUUUAGCCACACUCUGGAAAUCUGGAGGGUGGCUAAGACCAUGUAAAAAAAUAAAUAAAAAAAAAUAUGUCUGAUCCUUAUUAAAGUCCCAGAUGGGGACUGAAACGUUGAUCGAAUGAUCGAAUUUUUAAUGGAUUUUCAAUAAGCAUUGAACUUUUAAUUGCUAGGGCUGAUCACUACUUCAUAU